UGCAGAAUAGAGAAGUUUGGUUAUCUCGUCAGGUUCAUGCUCUGAAGAUCGGUGGUUCAAAUCCACCUUCUGCUA
rnacentral:tRNA from 1 species